rnacentral:snRNA from 1 species
UUACUUACCUGGAUAGGGUCAACGAGUGAUCAAGAAGGUCCAUGACCUAGGUUGGUGACUUCCACUGCACCAGGGAGAGUUACCAAUUUAAGAUUGGCUCAAGUGGUCAAGCCUAUGGCAUAAUAAC